AAGUCGUAACAAGGUUUCCGUAGGUGAACCUGCGGAAGGAUCAUUACUGAAGCAAAGCGUCAAGCUCCUCAUUUUGUGAGGAGUUUUGAUUGCCAAGCCUACCCAUUGUGAACCUAUGAUCUUGCUUGCUUGGCACUAGAACUUGUUUUGGUGUCAGCACUUAAACUCUGUCAUAUUCAUGCCUACAAAAGAACCCACGCGACUGAUGUCUUCAAUUGAAUAAUUGAAAGUACAACUUUUAGCAACGGAUCUCUAGGCUCUU
rnacentral:misc_RNA from 1 species